rnacentral:rRNA from 1 species
UACAGAGGGUGCGAGCGUUAAUCGGAAUUACUGGGCGUAAAGGGCGCGUAGGCGGUUCGUUAAGUCCUGUGUGAAAUCCCCCGGCUCAACUGGGGAACUGCACAGGAAACUAGCGGGCUUGAGUUCGGGAGAGGGAAGCGGAAUUCCGGGUGUAGCGGUGAAAUGCGUAGAUAUCCGGAGGAACACCGGUGGCGAAGGCGGCUUCCUGGACCGACACUGACGCUGAGGCGCGAAAGCUAGGGGAGCAAACAGG